GGGAACGAAGGGUCUGCAGUUAGAUGAGAUCAACCGCAGGGAUGAAAUAAAAUUAUUGUUCGCCCGAAAAGCAAAAAUGGAGGAACUUGCAUGGAAGCAGAAGUCUAGGGAAAAGUGGCUGAAAGAAGGGGACAAAAAUACUAAAUAUUUUCAUACCUUGGCAAGUCAACAUAGAAGAUGCAAUUUUGUGGAGGAGAUGUGGGUGGAUGGAGUCAAACAUAAAGGUAAUGAAAACAUACGAGAGGCUGCCAGGGAGUAUUUUAUGAAACUAUACGAAGAAGAAUUUGCUGUAAGAUCUCAAUUAGAUGCUUUGAGUUUCAAGAAAAUAGGGAAAAACAGUAGGAAGAUGUUAGAAGCUAAGUUCUCUGAGGAUGAGGUAAUCUCUGCACUUGUGUCUUGUGAUGGGGAUAAGGCCUCGGGGGCCGGACGGGAUCCAACAGGAAUUUCAUUAAAACCUUCUGGUAUGUUAUUAAAAAGGAUGUUAUGGACGUCUUUCAUGAGUUUCACUCCAGGGGUAAAUUCUUUAUAGCUCUAAAUUCUAAUUUUUUGGUAUUGAUUGCGAAGAAGAGAGGGGCGGAUAAUAUUAGAGAUUUUAGGCCUAUCAGUUUGGUGGGCUACAUCUAUAAACUCAUUGCAAAGGUGUUAGCGAUUAGACUAUCCAAAGUUUUGGAGGAAGUCAUUGGGGAGUGUCAACAUGCUUUUGUUACAGGUAGGAAAAUUCAAGAUGCUGUUUUGGUCGCUAAUGAGAUUGUUGAUUAUCUGGUCAUGAAUAGCAGAGAUGGUUUAAUCUGUAAGCUGGACAUGGAGAGGACGUAUGACCACGUUUGCUGGAACUUUGUGGAUUAUUUGUUGAGUAGAAUGAGUUUUGGGGAUAAAUGAGGGGUUGAAUGAAGACUUGUAUGAGGAUCAC
rnacentral:lncRNA from 1 species